UCACCGAGAUGCACUCAGAGCCUAUGAGGGCAUCAGAUCUGGAGGCACACAAUGUCCAACUCUCCCCUCUGGUGAUGCUAAUUUUGAUGCAUUUGUCAAGCAUCAACGUUGGAAUAGGUCAACAAGUACACAGGGUUAUUUUCUCUCUCUCCAAUCUUCCACGAGACUGGUAUUUUGUUUUCAUCAACUAAGAACCUGCAUUUCUACGAAUAUCGAGAGCAAGUAUCUUGCAGAAGUUGCCUGUUUUCUGAUGCAAGUAAGUAAACA